GUGUGUGGGCGGGGAGCGCUGGGGCGCCACGCGCGGGGGGCGGGAGCUCCCGGGCGCGUCCGUCCUUGGGCAGCGACCGCCAUGUCCGCGCCCCCGCAGGGGCGGCCGAGGCCGGCGUGCGCCCCCCGCCGCGAGCACCGCCCGGCCGCAGCUGCGUGAGGCGGGGAGCGCGGAAGCAAGCGCCAGGGUCUUGGAUCCCGGAGACGUUGCGGAGUUCCUCUGAGGAUGUGCGGCACUGUCAUGGAUUACACUUGUUCCCUGUGUAGGCCAUGAUGCUCUGCGCUGUAUUUUCAGUCACAAUCCCGAACCUUCCCACUGUUUCAGGAGUUAAUACAAAAGAUAUUUGAGCAAGCAGAAAAAUGCCGAAGUUUCACAUUUGGUGCCGCAGCCUUACCCUUUGCACUGUCCUCUCGGUUUUUUGGGGUUUUUUUAAUACUUUGGCAUACAGAAUAAUCUGUCAGCACUGACGGCAUUAAAUCUCUUGAAACGCACCUUUCCAAAGGCAUUGUGUCUGACACCAGUUGAAUGUAAGUAACUUGUAUUGCAAUAAAAUGUAUUCACAUAUUAAA